rnacentral:rRNA from 1 species
CCUACGGGUGGCAGCAGUGGGGAAUAUUGGACAAUGGGGGCAACCCUGAUCCAGCCAUGCCGCGUGUGUGAAGAAGGCCCUCGGGUUGUAAAGCACUUUCAGUGAGGAAGAACGCCUGGUGGUUAAUACCCAUCAGGAAAGACAUCACUCACAGAAGAAGCACCGGCUAACUCCGUGCCAGCAGCCGCGGUAAUACGGAGGGUGCGAGCGUUAAUCGGAAUUACUGGGCGUAAAGCGCGCGUAGGUGGCUUGAUAAGCCGGUUGUGAAAGCCCCGGGCUCAACCUGGGAGCGGCAUCCGGAACUGUCAAGCUAGAGUGCAGGAGAGGAAGGUAGAAUUCCCGGUGUAGCGGUGAAAUGCGUAGAGAUCGGGAGGAAUACCAGUGGCGAAGGCGGCCUUCUGGACUGACACUGACACUGAGGUGCGAAAGCGUGGGUAGCAAACAGGAUUAGAUACCCCGGUAGUC